UACGGGGGGGGCAAGCGUUGUUCGGAAUUACUGGGCGUAAAGGGCUCGUAGGUGGCCAACUAAGUCGGACGUGAAAUCCCUCGGCUUAACCGGGGAACUGCGUCCGAUACUGGUUGGCUUGAGUUUGGGAGAGGGAUGCGGAAUUCCAGGUGUAGCGGUGAAAUGCGUAGAUAUCUGGAGGAACACCAGAGGCGAAGGCGGUUACCUGGACAGUUACUGACGCUCAGGCACGAAAGCAUGGGGAGCAAAAGGG
rnacentral:rRNA from 1 species